rnacentral:lncRNA from 1 species
UGUUGAAGCGGCUGAGCCGGUCGGCGGUUCGGCGGCCUCCCGGUCUCGCCCGUGCGCACCUCUGGGACGACGGCGGGGACCCCAGCUUGCCCAGUAACUGCCCAUGAGGAGCGAUGAGGAGGAUGCAGCAUCUGGAAAGCAAUUCAUGGCUCUUCUGGAAACAUCUGAGCAAUCUGCUCUCUGAAGAAGCACGUUUGCUGAGGAUGACAAGUCACAACGGAGCCCAGUCUUCUCUAUAAGUGGGGCAUGUGGUCUGGGGCUCCCCACACCUCGCAGGGGAGUACCUGCCUGCAUUUAUGUGUAGCGGGAACCUCCUUUGAGAUCCGCUCUUUCACCACCAGGUGGCCGAGGGCCAUCUCUUCCGGGGCUGCACUUUUCCAACCUGCCAAACAAUGUCCAAGCUCGGGAAACUAUUCUUUUUGCCCUUAAUUUUGUUUAUUCUUCUGGAGCUGCUCUUUGCUCAGAGAGCCGAGGAACAGCGCGCCAAGCAAAACUCCGGCGGAAUCUGGAAGUCGUGGAGCCCACCCUGCUACUACCAUCAAUCAGAGAAG